UCGAACGGCAGCUCGGACUUCGGUCUGGUGGCGAGUGGCGAACGGGUGAGUAAUGUAUCGGAACGUGCCCAGUACCGGGGGAUAACUACGCGAAAGCGUAGCUAAUACCGCAUACGCCCUACGGGGGAAAGCGGGGGAUCUUCGGACCUUGCACUAUUGGAGCGGCCGAUAUCGGAUUAGCUAGUUGGUGGGGUAACGGCCUACCAAGGCGACGAUCCGUAGCUGGUUUGAGAGGACGACCAGCCACACUGGGACUGAGACACGGCCCAAACUCCUACGGGAGGCAGCAGUGGGGAAUUUUGGACAAUGGGGGAAACCCUGAUCCACCCAUCCCGCGUGUGCGAUGAAGGCCUUCGGGUUGUAAAGCACUUUUGGCAGGAAAGAAACGUCGCGGGCUAAUACCUCGCGAAACUGACGGUACCUGCAGAAUAAGCACCGGCUAACUACGUGCCAGCAGCCGCGGUAAUACGUAGGGUGCAAGCGUUAAUCGGAAUUACUGGGCGUAAAGCGUGCGCAGGCGGUUCGGAAAGAAAGAUGUGAAAUCCCAGAGCUUAACUUUGGAACUGCAUUUUUAACUACCGGGCUAGAGUGUGUCAGAGGGAGGUGGAAUUCCGCGUGUAGCAGUGAAAUGCGUAGAUAUGCGGAGGAACACCGAUGGCGAAGGCAGCCUCCUGGGAUAACACUGACGCUCAUGCACGAAAGCGUGGGGAGCAAACAGGAUUAGAUACCCUGGUAGUCCACGCCCUAAAC
rnacentral:rRNA from 1 species